rnacentral:lncRNA from 1 species
AAACUGCCUAAGGAAACCUUGCCACGCAGACAUUCGUUUCCUCUGGCUUACCUCUACUCUCUCUCUCUCUCAUUGUUUCUCACUGUUGCUGGUUAAUCGCUUCAGGAGCUAAGGGGGGAAAUGGCGAUGGGGAUAAGGGUGGAGAUAAACAGGUAUUUGGGAAGGAGCAACAAGUCGGUGGCGGAAACGGGAGAUCUAAGUGCCUUUGGGGUCCUGUACCUGUGGGGCGGGAGCGGUGCUCUCUGUGGCUCUUAGUGUGCCCUAAAAUCCUUGUGUUUUGCUGGGAGUGUGCACAGCGCUGGAGGCCUCCUUCAGAUUAACUCAGGAAAUGAUCAGAUUUAGGAUUUUGAUGAUGAAGAAACAUUUAAAAGGGGUGGGGUAUAAUUGAUGAAAAGGGAACAGGCAUAACCAGGUCUCUCGCAGGCCGGAGCGGCUCUCAGAUUUCUUUUGCUUUGGGUUGUUUCCUUUGUGAAUAAUUAUAAUAUGUAACUUUCCUCUUAAGGGAUUUCUUUUUCUUUUUUUCUUACUUUUUUUUUUUUUUUUUUUUGAGACAUAGUUUCGCUCUUGUUGCACAAGCUGGAGUGCAAUAGCACGAUCUCGGCUCACUGCAACCUCCGCCUCCCGGGUUCAAGCGAUUCUCCCGCCUCAGCCUCCCGAGUAGCUGGGAUUACAGGCGCCGGCCACCACACCCGGCUAAUUUUCUGUAUUUUUAGUAGACACGGGGUUUCACCAUGUUAGCCAGGCUGGUCUCGAACUCCUGACCUUAGGGUAUCCGCCCGCCUCGGGCUUCCAAAGUGUUGGGAUUACAAGCGUGAGCCACUGCGCCCGGCCGGGAUUUCUUAGUCUCCCCUUUAAAUCUGUUUUUCAGAGAAGACAUUGUAAAACGUCGGUGCUGGGGGAUGGGAAAGCAUUUCUUAGGAUCCUGCCUGGAAUCCUAAUACCGUAAUUCGGGUUCUGCCUUGAACACUAACCUGAGAUCCCAUUUCCUCAUUUGAAAUAUGGUUGCAAAGAUUAAAAGAUGCAAGCGUUGUCAAAAUACACAUAGAUAAGGAUGAUUCAAGAGAGACCUAGUUAUACUAUUUUUCAUGGUUCUCUUUCACUAUUUUUGCAGUAAGAACAACAAAACACCUCAUCUUGGCUUACAUUUUAAAAUACUUUGGCUUUAGUGUGUUGAUAUUUUUAAACAAAAUGAAAGAAAGGAGUAAAGUACAAAAUAAAACACGUCAAGAAAAGUUGAAAUGAGUACUUCAGAUUUAGUAAGUGAUAAAAAGUGAAGGAUGUUUGGAAUUUCCCAUGUAAAUCCGAGCUUUUAAAACUUAAAGUGGUUUCUGAAAUUUGGGGAUGCUGCAGAUGCGUCAUUUUAAAUAUGUACUCAUUUUUUAUAAUAUUAAACAAUCAAAAUGCCUGGAGGAGACAGUUACCACCAGUUUCUGAAUAUAGACUGAAUAUAGACUACGUAUAUUCAAGUUAUAGAUUAUCUAGCUCCAAAGUAGUAGAUGGGGAUCAGUGGCAAUCUGGUAGUUAAUUCAGUUUCCUAGUUGCAGGCAACCGCCAUCUAGUUCAUCUAAUAACAGUAAACCACCUUGUGUGCCCCAUGUUGAAUUUUAUACAUAAAUGUUCUUUAGUUCACUCUGGGGGAAUUUCAAAAAUUAUCCGUAAUCUUAAUAAAGAUGUAAAUUAGGAUAUUUUAAAAGGUUUUGCAUUGGCCCUUAAUGAGAACCAAAGCGAAAGUGACACGUGGUAAAAGAUAAUAAAAUCCGUCUGUAUAAAAGUUAUAAUUUCCAGUUUGCUAGGUUCUAAAUCUCCUGUUUGUUGUUUCUGUUGGCUCUCCCUCAUGGUGGCUAGUUUCUUCAAAUGUUGUGUAAUAUUUAAGUGGGAAUUUAUCUUCAAAGUUCUUUGUUCUGCAGAAGUCUUCUCUUCCUUGAGUUAAGAAAGUGUCUCUACAGAUUGGUUUUAUUGGUCCUAAAGUUUCAGUUGUUUUAAUCCAGAUUUAAGGUAAUUUUUUCAGCUUCUACUGUAAAUUUGGUUCUUGGGUCCCACCCCCAUAUAUGAUAUAGGACUCAGGUCUCAGUAUUUUUUAAUUGCCUUUAUAUGUAUACAAAUUAUACACAACUUUAUUUCAACAAUCUUGUCUUCAAAUAUGUGAAGGAAUCCCAAUCCCUAGGAUCUAUAUUUACAUAGAAUCCCCCUUUCUAUAUCUCUUUAGCUUUCUUUUAAGUUCUAUGAUGUAUUUUUUGAUUAUGUAAAUAAAAACAUGUUAUAUGUUUUUAUGUAAACAAAAAACAUAAUAAUAUUACUCACAGAUAGCAAGCCUCCUUACUGCUUUUCCAAAGCAACAGUCUUAAGUUUUUGUGUUUUUGUUUUUUUUUUAAAGACAGGGUCUCACCCUGUCACGUAGGCUGGAGUGCAGUGGCAUGAUCUUAGCUCACUGCAACCUCUGUCUCCAGGACUCAAGCGAUCCUUCCAUGUCUUUGUCUCCAGAGUAGCUGGGGCUAUAGGUGCCCACUACCAUGCAUGGAUAAUUUUUAUAUUUUUUUGUGGAGACGAGGUUUGCCAUGUUGCUCAGGCUGCUCUCCAACUCCUGAGCUCAAGCGGUCUGCCCAACUGGGCCUCCCACUUGCUGGGAUCACAGGCAUGAGCCACUGUGCCUGGAGUUUUUCUAACCCUCUGUGAUCAUAUGGUCUGUCUUUUCUAGACUCAGCUUUAUUUCAGCAAUCUUGUCUUCAAAUUAUGUGUAGGAAUCCCAAUCCCCAGGACCUAUAUCUAGGUAGAGGCCCCCCCUUUCAACAUCUUCUUUGCUUUCUUUUAGGCUCUGUGAUAUAUAUUUUUUGUUUACAUAAAUAAGAACAUGUUAUACAGUAUUUAGCAUCUUUAUGUGUUUAUAGAAGGGGACCACCUAUGACAAUUUAGACAAUAUCUCUGGUUGAUUCUCCAUCAGAGCGCCUAGAAUAUAAAAAUGAAGACUAAUUGUGUCUGUAGCCUGGUCAAAACAGUAAAAUGCUUUCCCAGCACACUUUGAAUAAAAUCCCAGUUCCUGCAUGUUCCUACAUGAUCUCACCCCUGUCUACCUCUCUUAUGUGAUCAUUAGGCUGUCUUUCCCUUUACUCUGCACUCACUAUAAUCCAGCCAAAAUUGGCAUUCGUUGGGGUUUUGGAAUACACCAGACUCUCUUUUCUACUAUCCUCUACUACCUACCCAGAGCUUUCCCAAAUGCUGUCCUUUAAUUAUUAUCUUUCCCUUGUCUGGCUGGUUCUUCCUGCUUCUUUACGCUUUGGCCUUAAAUAUUCACAUAGACGUUCUAUGACCACCCUAUCUAAGUAGCACCCGCCCACUUCUAUGUUUUUUAUAACUUUUUACAGCACUAAUUAAAAGUUCUCAUCUCUUCUGUCUACAGACUGAGCUCCUUGCUUUACCAGCAUUUAUCCUCGAAUGUAAAGUGACCCAUCCAAUUCCCUUUUUUAUACUGCCAGUUGCCUCUCUUCCUUUCCUGUCCCUGCUCCUUUGCCUGACUCUUCAUUUCUACCUACGACUUGGGGAUAUAGGACUGCCUUUCUAACCCUUAUGCCUUCCUUACUCAGGAUCUAGGUUACUACACUUGGCAUGUGGAUACCACCCAAGCAGCCUGUGCAGGGGUUGGAGGCUCAAGCAAAAUAUUUGAUGGGUCUGAAUGAAAAUCUGAUGAAACAGAUGUUACUUGAAGCUGAGUGACUUUCUCAGGGUCAAGCAAAUAAGUAAAUGGAGGAGCCAGAAUUAUACCCCAGGAUCCCCAUCACAAGGAGGGGAGGGCUACCAUCCCAGCUGCAAACUCUCAUUCAAGGUUUAUGCUGCAGCCAGCAGUGUCCUUGGAGUCUAGUUCAAAGCUGAAGAGAGUGAACCAUGGAACUGGGAGCCAUUGGCGGAGAGGCUGGCCUGAAGGAAGGGAAGUGUUUCAGCCAGAAUGUACUGACGCACAACCAGGAAACCACAAGACUGGUGAGAACCUUUCCAAAACUGAGCUUUAUGAUCAAAAGAGGUACAGGAAACAGCUCUGCCAAGAGUCCUUUCUGCUCCUGGCUGGAACCCUGAGCUUCUGAGGCUCUCUGAGUCAACUCUCUGAACAGAUGCUGUCACCCAAGGAACCAUCACUAAAGCAUUUUUUUGCUUUGCUCUGAGGUGGCCUCACUGGUGGGUGCAAGUGAGUUACUGUCUCUUUUUCUCUUUCUUGUUUCUUUCUUUUGACAGAAGUUGCCAUGUGAUUACUCAAUUCUGAAUUUUAGAGGCCAUAGGUUACUGCAUUUAUGCCCUUUGCCAACUGACUAUUGUUUGGUGCUGGGCCUGCAUACAAACACGACAUCCCCAAACUCUUAUCAAUACCUAGAUCACCUGAUGUGAAUCUAUCAAUACCCUGGACUUAACAGGGUAUUGAAGGAAAGAGAACCGGCAAUUCCUUCAUUUCUUACAUCCCAGCCAGUAGUCCUUCUCCCAGGCUAGUCUUCCUUUUGUUUCCCCUAAGAAUGACUCAACUAGGAAUUGCAUUCUGAUCCCUGUCACAGAUAUAAAUCUUGUCUGGAUACAAGGUCAAAAUAAUUGUGUUCCUGUGGAUUCUUUUUCUUUUUUCAACCAGAGUAACUACCAGUUGCCAUGAAAUAAAUCACAUCAUCAUAUGGCAGAUCCAGCUAAUAGCUGAGACUGGCAGGAUAACUGAACCGUGUACUCAGAGCUAAAUGAUGGAGAAAUUGGACUGGCCAUGGAGCACUUCAAAUUGAUUGCUUAGUAAUGGGAUAUUUUUCCUGGAAAGACAACAGAAUACUUCUGAAUUGUUGGUUCUGUCAUGGGUACAGGCUCCCAUGUACAGGAAAAUAAAGAAAGUGUGAUGAAUUUUUCAUCUGGCCUUCUGCCUACUUUCUUGCUUUCUGCAUGUCUCCAUUUUUAGUCUGUAAGCCCUGCCUAGAUGACCAAUCACUAUUGCCCAUGUGGCAUAAAACCUACAAUUUAACUAUACUUCUUACCAAACUCUCAGCAAGUAUGAGGUAGCCAACAGCCUUUUCAAGAUAAUGACUGAGUCUUAGCUUAGGUUUCAGUCAUUUUAGGAAACAUAAAAAAUUCAAUGGUGGGAGAUCAUACACACUCUGCAAAGAUGUCAGAAGUCAAGUUUUGGGAGAGUCCACACACAAACUGAGCAGUGAUGGUAAAAUAUAUUUUUGAAAUAUUUCUCCUCUGUGACUGUUAUGUGAAGUAGAGCAAACACAUUGUGCUGCAGUGCUCUUUGGGACAUGCCUUUUUUGGGAAGUGCUAACUUUAUACUCUGCUGACACCAAACAUUUGAAUAUAAAACCUUAUUUUUUUCUCUCACUCUGCUCCACUUUUGGCUCAGCUUAUUCUACCAAAACACACUUCAAAAGACUUCUUUAUAGAAAGAAUGUUUCAAAAAUAUAAUAUUUCCAUCUGUUAUUUCAAUAAUACAUGCUCUGGGACUCUCUUUAUGAACCACUUUCCUUUCUUUGCUCCCAUUUAGAUGUAUAAAUAUUUGAUUGUAAAGCUCUAAGGAAUAGUCAGCCAAUCGGGUCACUGAAUUGUGAACAUUCCUAACCCUAUAAUUUUGUCUGUAGCAGGCACCUCCUGCUGUGGAACUAACUGCUAAGGGAUUAUAGCAAUGUAAUCCUCAGACUGUUCCAUCUCAAGGUUACUCUGAAGUGGAGGGAAGGAAGCCGUUUUAAUUUUGAUAAAAUAAACUUUAUUUUGUAACUUUAUUAUUUGUUUUUCUUUUUCCUUUCAACACUUCAUAAUAGAUGUGUCUGGUAAUUUGAAGUUAGCCUCUCUGGUUGAGGUGCCCUAAACCACCUCGUAUUAUUGUA